rnacentral:rRNA from 1 species
UACAGAGGUCUCAAGCGUUGUUCGGAUUCAUUGGGCGUAAAGGGUGCGUAGGUGGCGCUGUAAGUCGGGUGUGAAAUUUCGGAGCUUAACUCCGAAACUGCAUUCGAUACUGCGGUGCUUGAGGACUGGAGAGGAGACUGGAAUUCAUGGUGUAGCAGUGAAAUGCGUAGAGAUCAUGAGGAAGACCAGUGGCGAAGGCGGGUCUCUGGACAGUUCCUGACACUGAGGCACGAAGGCCAGGGGGGAGCAAACGGG